GACGAACGCUGGCGGCGUGCUUAACACAUGCAAGUCGUACGGUAAGGCCCUUUCGGGGGUACACGAGUGGCGAACGGGUGAGUAACACGUGAGUAACCUGCCCACAACUUUGGGAUAACGCUAGGAAACUGGUGCUAAUACUGGAUAUGUGCUCCUGCUGCAUGGUGGGGGUUGGAAAGCUCCGGCGGUUGUGGAUGGACUCGCGGCCUAUCAGCUUGUUGGUGGGGUAGUGGCCUACCAAGGCGGCGACGGGUAGCCGGCCUGAGAGGGUGACCGGCCACAGUGGGACUGAGAUACGGCCCAGACUCCUACGGGAGGCAGCAGUGGGGAAUAUUGCACAAUGGGCGCAAGCCUGAUGCAGCAACGCCGCGGGCGGGAUGACGGCCUUCGGGUUGUAAACCGCGUUCAGCAGGGACGAAGCUUUUUGUGACGGUACCUGCAGAAGAAGCACCGGCUAACUACGUG
rnacentral:rRNA from 1 species